GGGGACAUAGCUCAGUUGGUUAGAGCACCUGUCUUACAAACAGGGGGUCAGAAGUUCGAGUCUUCUUGUCCCCACCA
rnacentral:tRNA from 1 species